rnacentral:misc_RNA from 1 species
GAUGAAGAACGCAGCGAAAUGCGAUACUUGGUGUGAAUUGCAGAAUCCCGUGAACCAUCGAGUUUUUGAACGCAAGUUGCGCCCGAAGCUGUUAGGCCGAGGGCACGCCUGCCUGGGUGUCACACAUCGUUGCCCCCCCCCCAUCUACUCCUUCGGGAUUGCGGGGGGCGGAUGAUGGCCUCCCGUGCGCCUAGCCGCGCGGUUGGCAUAAAUACCAAGUCCUCGGCGACGCACGCCACGACAAUCGGUGGUUGCGAAACCUCGGUUGCCCGUCGUGUGCGUUCGUCGCGCAUCGAGGGCUCGAAAAAAUGCUCGGCUCCGGCUCGGCUUUCAACGCGACCCCAGGUCAGGCGGGGUUACCCGCUGAAUUUAAGCAUAUCAAUAAGCGGAGGA